rnacentral:misc_RNA from 1 species
GGAGGGAUCAUUAACACACGAAUGUGGGAAGCAAUUCUCACAAGUCCAUUUUGGGUUGGGUGUUCCUUUCUUUGUGCGCAAGUGCAUUGAAUGACGCCCUUCCUAAAACAACGUGCAAUGUUCAAGUCUUGUGACAAUGCAUGCCAUUUCGGUGGUGCGCAUGGUUACAAGCCAAACAAGAACACAAUUAAUUGAGAAGAGAAUUUAUUUUGAUCGAGCGAGAUAGAAUUCCGUGCGGCUCGCUGCAUUGUUUCUUCUUGUGAGAGAGAAAUUAAAAGAUAAAAAUCAAUGAGAACUUUUAACAACGGAUAUCUUGGUUCUCGCAACGAUGACGAGCGCAGCGAAAUGCGAUACUUAGUGUGAAUUGCAGAAUUCAGUGAAUCAUCGAGACCUUGAACGCAUAUUGCACCUGCAAUCAUUUGCAGGUACGUCUGUUUGAGUGCCAAUACAAACAAUCACAACACAAAUUCAUUUUGUGCGUGAGAAUUGGGCUGUCCAUAAUUUACUUUAUGGUCGCUUGAAAUGUAUUGGGGUUUCGCUUGGGUAAUAUGAAAGUGUCCACCUUUCUUGAUUCCAAAACGGCGCGAUAGUAAAGUGUCUCGCUGCUAGUAAGAUCAGGUUCAAUUACAGGGUGAGAGUGUUUCUUUCAAGCGAUUCCUGACAAAAGGAUAAAUGCAGUUAAUUCUGCAUAAUUUUCUUUAGCUCUCUAAUCAAUCUGAGAGUACUGGCCUCAAAUCAGGCGAGAAUACCCGCUGAACUUAAGCAUAUUAAUAAGCGGAGGAAAAGAAACUAACAAGGAUUCCCCUAGUAACUGCGAGUGAAGUGGGAAGAGCUCAAGCUUAAAAUCAGAGGCAGUCUAUGUCUCCGAAUUGUAGUUUUGUGAAUGGCCUCACUGACAGAUCUCCAACGGUAUAAGUCCUCUGGAACGAGGUGCCAAAGAAGGUGAUAGCCCUGUGCAUGACCGUGGUGAAUAAAUUGUUGUCUGUCGAUCGUGUUGCUAAUUCGUCGAGUCGGGUUGUUUGGGAGUACAGCCCAAAGUGGGAGGUAAAUUCCUUCUAAAGCUAAAUAAUGGCGAGAGACCGAUAGCGAACAAGUACCGUGAGGGAAAGAUGCAAAGAACUUUGAAAAGAGAGUUAAAAGUGCUUGAAAUUGUUAAAAGUGAAGCGAUUGGGCGCAGUACAUGCUUGCUAUCAACUCAUUCAUCGGUGUGGUGUUGGAGUGGCGUUUUAGCGAGUGUCCUAAGUGGCAUCGUUGCGUUGUUUCCUGGCAUCAUAUUGGUGGAGCAUUUUGGUGGUAGGUGAGUCAGCAUCAGUGAGGUAUAAGAGUGGGAGAAUGGGGUGGAGGAGGUGACAUGCGGUCGGUUUCGGCUGAUUUAGCGUGUGUUAAACUCUGCUCAGAUACCAUUCACUUCACUGAGGCAACCUAUGGUUGAUAACUGGCGCCUUUUUGGCGGGGUAAGAGUGGGACUGAUGAGUGCAGACGGUGAGGACAGCUUGCUGUGCUUGUUGAUCUGUGUUUGUCAUGGCCUACUCUCCACCAUUUCCAGUUAGAGAUGCUGACCGAAUGUUCCCAAUCGUCCCGUCUUGAAACACGGACCAAGGAGUCUAACAUAUGUGCGAGUUAUUGAGUGACAAACUUAUUGGCGUAAUGAAAGUAAAAUGGUGAGAGUCCUUUUAUCUGGAUGCAUCAUCGACCAAUUUUGAAAUUUUUGGAUAGAUUUGAGUUGGAGCAUAUAUGUUGGGACCCGAAAGAUUGCGAACUAUGCUUGCAUAGGGUGAAGCCAGGCGAAAGUCUGGUGGAGGCUCGUAGCGAUACUGACGUGCAAAUCGUUCGUCAAAUGUGGGUAUAGCGGCGAAAGACUAAUCGAGCAAUCUAGUAGCUGGUUUCCUC